UAUCUGUUUAAGCAUUUUUGUCUCAUAAACUCACAGAUAGUUUUCUUUUAGGGCCGCAGGAAUCUGCAACCCUUUUACCCUGCUAAGCCUGAAGAUAUUGCAACCAUAUGCUACACAAGUGGUACUACGGGAACACCGAAGGGAGUUAUAUUGACACAUGGGAACUUUAUUGCAAGUGCUGCUGGAUUUAGUCGUGCAAUCAAAUUCUAUCCCUCUGAUGUUUACAUAUCCUAUCUUCCUUUGGCACACAUCUUUGAACGGACUAAUCAAAUUAUCUUGGCAUACUUUGGUGUCGCUAUUGGUUUCUACCA